rnacentral:rRNA from 1 species
GACUGAUGAGUUGCGAACGGGUGAGUAACGCGUAGGUAACCUGCCUCAUAGCGGGGGAUAACUAUUGGAAACGAUAGCUAAUACCGCAUAAGAGUAAUUAACACAUGUUAGUUAUUUAAAAGGAGCAAUUGCUUCACUGUGAGAUGGACCUGCGUUGUAUUAGCUAGUUGGUGAGGUAAAGGCUCACCAAGGCGACGAUACAUAGCCGACCUGAGAGGGUGAUCGGCCACACUGGGACUGAGACACGGCCCAGACUCCUACGGGAGGCAGCAGUAGGGAAUCUUCGGCAAUGGACGGAAGUCUGACCGAGCAACGCCGCGUGAGUGAAGAAGGUUUUCGGAUCGUAAUGCUCUCUUGUU